rnacentral:rRNA from 1 species
AGGCGAAAGAUUCCUGCACCCGUAUAUGGAGCGAAGGAGUGACGGAGACGGAUAGUGUGACCCUCUUAAUGGAUUGAGGGCGAAGCGAAGCGGCUGGUUACCAGGCAAAUCCGGUAACCAUAAGGCUAGAGCGUGAUAGGUAAGCGAAAUCUUAGGAGAGUAGCGAAGCACAUGAUGACGGCUUCCAGGAAAAGCUUCUGGCAAUGCAUAUGCGGCCCGUACCAAAACCGACACAGGUGGGCAGGGAGAGAAUCCCGAGGUGAGCGAGAGAACUGUUGCCAAGGAACUCGGCAAAAUGACUCCGUAAGUUAGCGAGAAGGAGUGCUUAAGCAAUUAAGCCGCAGUGAAGAGGCCCAAGCGACUGUUUAACUAAAAUACAGCUCUCUGCGAAGUCGCAAGACGAAGUAUAGGGGGUGACACCUGCCCGGUGCUGGAAGGUUAAGAGGAUCUGUUAAGAGCGAUCUGAAGCAGUGAUCCGAAGCCCCAGUGAACGGCGGCCGUAACAAUAACGGUCCUAAGGUAGCGAAAUUCCUUGUCAGGUAAGUUCUGACCCGCACGAAAGGUGUAACGAUUUGGGCGCUGUCUCGGCAGCAGACUCGGUGAAAUCUUAGUACCUGUGAAAAUGCAGGUUACCCGCAACUAGACGGAAAGACCCCAUGGAGCUUUACUGCAGCCUGAUAUUGAAUUCUGGUCAUACAUGUACAGGAUUGGUGGGAGACAAAGAGACGUGCACGCCAGUGUACGAGGAGUCGACGUUGGGAUACCACUCUUGUGUGACCGGGGUUCUAACCUGGUAUCGAGAACAGGUACGGGGAGAGUGUCAGGUGGGCAGUUUGACUGGGGCGGUCGCCUCCCAAAGAGUAACGGAGGCGCCCAAAGGUACGCUCAGAUUGGAUGGAAACCAAUCGUCGAGUGCAAUUGCAGAAGCGUGCUUGACUGUGAGACUUACAAGUCGAACAGGGACGAAAGUCGGGAAUAGUGAUCCGGCGGUGCCGAAUGGAAGGGCCGUCGCUCAACGGAUAAAAGCUACCCUGGGGAUAACAGGCUGAUCUCGCCCAAGAGUUCACAUCGACGGCGAGGUUUGGCACCUCGAUGUCGGCUCAUCGCAUCCUGGAGCUGGAUUCGGUUCCAAGGGUUGGGCUGUCCGCCCAUUAAAGCGGUACGCGAGCUGGGUUCAGAACGUCGUGAGACAGUUCGGUCCCUAUCUGUUGUGGGCGAAGGAGAUCUGCGGAGAGCUGUCCUCAGUACGAGAGGACCGGGAUGGACCUACCGCUGGUGCACCGGUUGUUCCGCCAGGGGCAUAGCCGGGUAGCUAAGUAGGGAAAGGAUAAGCGCUGAAAGCAUCUAAGCACGAAGCCUACUCCAAGAUGAGAUCUCCCAUUCGCAAGAAGUAAGACCCCUUAAAGACGAUAAGGUAGAUAGGCCAGAGAUGGAAGUGCAGUGAUGUACGGAGUUGACUGGUACUAAUCGGUCGAGGACUC